GUCCUGACUUCCUUUGACGAUGAACAGAGAUGUGGAAAUAUCUAGGUGAGCUCUGCUCCUCAGAGGUCCAGGCAGCCUCCCUUGCCCGGGUCCCUCCUCUCCAGGCUUAUUAUUGGCUGAGGAAUUGGUGCCCUGACAGAGAAGACCAGAGUCCGCUCAACACCAAGUUUAAACUUGACAGCAGUGGCUUUCAAAGUGGGACCCUCUGGGUCUGGGAGGUAGUUGGCACUUCCUGAUCUGGUGUGGCUGUGUAAUUGCAUCUCAGCUGGUGAAGCAAUGGCACAUGAGGCGGACAUGGCUACCAGGUUUGGCCAUUGAACCCUGUGCCCAUGUCACCCUUGGAAGUCACAAGGUAAAGAGCCAGAGCCUUUGUCAGCUAGAAGAAGACACUCUUCUGAAUACUGAAGUCGUGGCUGUGGAUAUGAUGAGAUUCUUCCCUGAGAAGGUUUUUGUUCCAGAAGCUCAACCCUAGGUGGUGAUGUGGAGAGGCAAUGAGGUCACUAAGAGACAGCGCCUCAUGAUGGCUUUGGGUGUGAGACCUGAACCCAAGGACUGUUUCUCUCCAUUGUUUCCGGUUUUCUCAGACGUGGGAUUGUCAUUUGGGAAGAAUUUAGUAGAAAACACUGGGAGAAUAUGGUUGAAUAUGGUUGAAUCCGAAUAGUUGAGUUUGGCAGAAUAAUUGGAUCUACAGAAUGAAGCAAGAAGACUCUGUAUGUGGAGACACUUAAGAAGAAAGUGGUACAGGGGAUGGCUGGGAAGAUGAGAGCUGUCAAACCUGCUUCUUCAUGGGAAUCAGCCUGUGAAACAUCUUCACAGGAAAGCAUAAAGAACUUGGAGGCAUCUAAUAUCCAGCCUAGAGUUGUUGUCUAGACCCCUGUGCUCCUUUGAAGGGGUCAGCACAGCCCUAGGUAGGGAGGGACAGGACAUGCUUCACCAGAUGGUCAUAUGUGAGUUCAGCAGUUGUGGGGCUCAGAGCCAGAGCCAGUGAUGAUGGAAGGCCAUUCCCGCCUUUUGCCUUGGGCUGCCUCCAGGAACUGGCCAGCCUUCGGAGAACUUUAGACUUCUGCUGGGGGUAGAGCAGAAGUUUGAACCAAUUUUAUUUAGAAGGCGCCAGUUGGCAUAUGAUGCAUAACACGCAUCCACUGGUAAAAGAAUACUGCAGGGCUCAUCAAAUAAAGUUAGGAGUGGAGUAAACAGGCCUUAAAAGGAAACUUCUGAGGUCAAAAGAGUCACCCGGUGUACCUCAGGUCACAGUAUGAACACUGGGCUGAGCUCUGUUCUUAGCUUCUCUGGCUCUCGGGGCUUUUGCCUGGGGUGAGGAACAACAGCUGCUCUGGCGGAGGCUGGGUGGUGGCUCCUCACCCAUUGUCCUCUGGCACCAGGCGCUCAGGAGCAGCCCCACCCUGUAGCUUCUUCAGGGCCCUAUGGCUACCUCAUUGACAGACUCUGUCAGUGCUCUGAGCUCACAGAGAUGUAUGUGGGAGAGAGAUUUUGUGCAGUAAGGGAAAACGUGUGAGACGUGAGUUUGUUAAGAACCUCGUCAGUUGCCAUAAAGAUGUCAUAAAGACACAUCAGAUGCUGUGUUAAUACAAAAAGCAUGUUGUUUAUCUGGGAGCAGAAGGUUUUCUUCAUUCCCAAAAAAGAUGUAAACCCCAAACCAGGAAAAAUGAACAAAAAUAGGGUAGCAGUGGACCAGCUGUGCAGCCAUGGUGGGUCAGGUUGGCAUGCCUGGCCUCCUAAUUUCCUUCCAGAUAUGGAUUGGUGUUGCUAUGCUGAGUGGGGCAGGAGGUUUCCUGAGUACAAAGCGCCAACAUGCCAACUCUGAGAUAAAAAGUUGUAAAUAGACCUUGAGCCUGUCCCAGAGCCAGGCUCAGUGUCCUUGGGCUGGUCAUACUUAUAAGCCAGGUCCCAGGUGGGGGUGGGAUGAACAGCUGCCGUGGAAAGUUCCAUGAGCUGUCCACCAGCUCUGGGGAAGCUCUGGUGUUCCCCACAGCAUGGGGAGAACAUGGCUUAUGAAAGAGGCACAGACAUGGUCCCAGCUCAUAAGGAACAGGGCCCCUGGAGAGAGGACAUGGGGGCGCUUGCCAAGAAAGCAAGGGACAAGCAGGUUGCAAAACCUUAAACCACAGUUGUCAAUAAGGUCGAGGCAUGAAGCCAUGGCAAAAGUCACCGUCACCUUCCAUGGAUCAGAACCCUGUUUCGUCUCCCUCAGAAUAUGCUGGAAACACAAAUUGAGUAUUAAGCUAAAAGCUGAUCUUUUUUUUUUUAAAUAUUAAUA